GACGAACCGUGCGAACGUUGUUCGGAUUCACUGGGCUUAAAGGGCGCGUAGGUGGUUUGCCAAGUCGGGGUUGAAAUCUUUCGGCUUAACCGGAAAAGUGGCUUCGAUACUGGCAAGCUGGAGGGAGGUAGGGGCGGAUGGAACUUCCGGUGGAGCGGUGAAAUGUGUUGAUAUCGGAAGGAACGCCGGUGGCGAAAGCGAUCCGCUGGACCUCUUCUGACACUGAGGCGCGAAAGCCAGGGGAGCAAACGGG
rnacentral:rRNA from 1 species